rnacentral:rRNA from 1 species
UAGUCAUAUGCUUGUCUCAAAGAUUAAGCCAUGCAUGUCUAAGUACAAGCCUCACUAAGGUGAAACCGCGAAUGGCUCAUUAAAUCACACCUAAUCUACUGGAUAGUUAACAGUUACUUGGAUAACUGCGGUAAUUCUGGAGCUAAUACAUGCACAAAGCCCCGAACUUACGUGAGGGGCGCUUUUAUUAGAUCAAAACCAAACGGCUUCGGCUGUAUCCUUGGUGACUCUGAAUAACUUUGGCUGAUCGCAUGGCCUAGCGCCGGCGACAUAUCCUUCGAAGGUGUGCCCUAUCAACUGUCGACUGUGGCAUAGACGCCCACAGUGGUUUUGACGGGUAACGGGGAAUCAGGGUUCGAUUCCGGAGAGGGAGCCUUAAAAACGGCUACCACAUCUAAGGAAGGCAGCAGGCACGCAAAUUACCCAAUGACCGAAGGUCGAGGUAGUGACAAAAAAUAACGAUACGGGACUCAUCUGAGGCCCCGUAAUCGGAAUGAGUACACUUUAAAACCGUCCCCGAGGAUCUAUUA